ACAUGUUCCAUUCUCAAUGGGAUCUUUCGCCAACCUAUUUGAACCUUGAAAUUUCGAUUACUAUUUGCUAUUGUUGAUAACCGUACCCUAAACCGCAUCAGGUCUCCAAGGUUAACAGCCUAUGGUUAAGUGGAAUAAAGUAGAUGAGGGAAGUCGGCAAAUUCGAUCUGUAACUUUGGAAAAAGGAUUGGUUCUGGACGUCAGUGAUUUAACUUGUUAAGUCACAAUUAUGACAUAUCCAGAACUGGUGUUGACUAGAGGAAUCUGACUGUUUAAUUAAAACAAAGCAUUGUGUAAAGUUGAAAAACUAUACACGCAAUGUGAUUUCUGCCCAGUGCUCUGAAUGUUAUUGUGAUGAGAUUCGCAUAAGCGCGGGUAAACGGCGGGAGUAACUAUGACUCUCUUAAGGUAGCCAAAUGCCUCGUCGUCUAAUUAAUGACGUGCAUGAAUGGAUCAAUGAGAUUCCUACUGUCCCCAACUACUAUCCAGUGAAACCACAGCCAAGGGAACGGGCUUGGCAAUAUAAGCGGGGAAAGAAGACCCUGUUGAGCUUGACUCUAGUUUGAUAUUGUAAAACUACUUGGAAGAUGUAGCAUACGUGGGAGCAUCUAAUGCGACAGUGAAAUACCACGGCUUCUAAUGUGGCUUUGCUCACUCGGAAUUAGUGGAUCUGCUCUGCAGAAACGCGAAACUAAAGUGUAAACGACAUUCACUGAGGACAUUAUCAAAUGGGGAGUUUGGCUGGGGCGGCACAUCUGCUAAACAUCAACGCAGAUGCCCUAAGGUUAACUCAAAGAGAACAGAAAUCUCUUGUAGACCGAAAGGAGAAAAGUUAGCAUUAUUCGGAUUUGUAUCAUCAAUAAGAAUUGCGAAAGCAUGGCCUAUCGAUCCUUUAAGCCCAGAAAGAUUCUGGCUAGAGGUGACGGAAAAGUUACCACAGGGAUAACUGGCUUGUGGCAGCCAAGCGUUCAUAGCGACGUU
rnacentral:ncRNA from 1 species